UUGAUUCUCUACAUGUUGGAGGACCAAGGUUAACCCUCUUUAUUCUUCAAUUAAACCAAGCAUUUUCUUCCCCCUUAUCUCUCUCUGACCUCCAGGGAGUAAACCUGUCAGCCAAGACAUACAGCUUUGGAUAUGUGGCACCUUUGCACAGGGAGAACCAAGGCCAAUACCUAUCGUGAGACAUGUGUUUCAUUAUGCACUCCAACCCAACCGCAGAACUCACCUUUAAAAAGUGGACAUUUUCUCUCAGAAGUGGGACAAUGGAAUUUUGAGAGCAGCUCGAUGAGUACUUUUAAAAAAAAAAUCCAAACAACUUUGACCAGAAGUAGAUAAAGCAAGGAAGGAACUUGGCAACUGUGGAUUUAAUCUUGACCAAUCAGGUGGACAUAGAAUGUAUAGGUGGAGUGACAGAAACAAUGGGAAAAAAUGAAAUGACAGGCUUGCUGGGUGGUGAGUGCUGGCCUGACGAGAGCUCCUGGGAAGGGUGAAGUUGAUGGAAAUAUUGUGUACUCAGUUUUUCUUGCUUGUUGAAAAGUAUUUCUAGUAAAGACUAGAGGGAAGUUUGUUGCACUGUUCCCCUCUGAGGGCCAAGUUUCCUCCAGCUGAAGAGCAGACAAGAUGUCACCAAGGCAAGGGCAUCCACUACCUCACAGUUCUCUAGUGUGGGAGACCUUCUUCAGAGGCCCCAAGAAAGGAAAGAUGGAGGAAAAUGAGAAAGGCAUUUCUGCC